UUCCGCAAUGGGCGAAAGCCUGACGGAGCAAUACCGCGUGGGGGARGAAGGCUCUUGGGUUGUAAACCCCUUUUCUCAGGGAAGAAAAAAAUGACGGUACCUGAGGAAUAAGCAUCGGCUAACUCCGUGCCAGCAGCCGCGGUAAUACGGAGGAUGCAAGCGUUAUCCGGAAUGAUUGGGCGUAAAGCGUCUGUAGGUGGUUUGGCAAGUCUGCCGUUAAAGGUCGGGGCUCAACUCCGAAAAGGCGGUGGAAACUGCCAGACUAGAGUGUGGUAGGGGUAGAGGGAAUUCCCGGUGUAGCGGUGAAAUGCGUAGAUAUCGGGAAGAACACCGGUGGCGAAGGCGCUCUACUGGGCCACAACUGACACUGAGGGACGAAAGCUAGGGGAGCGAAAGGGAUUAGAUA
rnacentral:rRNA from 1 species